UGCGCAGGUGGUUAGAUAAGUCAGGUGUGAAAUCCCAGAGCUUAACUUUGGAAUUGCGCUUGAAACUGUCAGACUAGAGUGCUGUAGAGGGUAGUGGAAUUUCCGGUGUAGCGGUGAAAUGCGUAGAUAUCGGAAGGAACACCAGUGGCGAAGGCGACUACCUGGACAGAUACUGACACUGAGGCACGAAAGCGUGGGUAGCGAACA
rnacentral:rRNA from 1 species